UACGGAGGGUGCAAGCGUUAUCCGGAUUCACUGGGUUUAAAGGGUGCGUAGGCGGACAGGUAAGUCAGUGGUGAAAUCUCUGGGCUUAACCCAGAAACUGCCGUUGAUACUAUUUGUCUUGAGUAUCCUGGAGGUAGGCGGAAUAUGUCAUGUAGCGGUGAAAUGCUUAGAUAUGACAUAGAACACCGAUAGCGAAGGCAGCUUACUACAGGAUGAUUGACGCUGAGGCACGAAAGCGUGGGGAGCAAACAGG
rnacentral:rRNA from 1 species